UGGGGAAUAUUGCACAAUGGGGGAAACCCUGAUGCAGCGACGCCGCGUGAGUGAAGAAGUAUUUCGGUAUGUAAAGCUCUAUCAGCAGGGAAGAUAAUGACAGUACCUGACUAAGAAGCCCCGGCUAACUACGUGCCAGCAGCCGCGGUAAUACGUAGGGGGCAAGCGUUAUCCGGAUUUACUGGGUGUAAAGGGAGCGUAGACGGAGUGGCAAGUCUGAAGUGAAAACCCUGGGCUUAACCUGGGGACUGCUUUGGAAACUGUUAAUCUAGAGUGUUGGAGAGGUAAGUGGAAUUCCUGGUGUAGCGGUGAAAUGCGUAGAUAUCAGGAAGAACACCGGAGGCGAAGGCGGCUUACUGGACAAUAACUGACGUUGAGGCUCGAAAGCGUGGGGAUCAAACAGGAUUAGAUACCCUGGUAGUCCACGCUGUAAACGAUGAAUACUAGGUGUCGGGGAGCAAAGCUUCUCGGUGCCGUCGCAAACGCAAUAAGUAUUCCACCUGGGGAGUACGUUCGCAAGAAU
rnacentral:rRNA from 1 species